UUUUCAAAUUUUUAAAUUUGUGAAUAUAACUGUAUUGAAUAUAUUUAUAUUUAUGUUAACAGUCAAAUUUUUUAGUAUUUUUUAACUAAGAUUGUAUCAAGAUUAUAAAAAAAAAAAAAUUUUAAAUAAACUUAGAUUUGUUCGGUUUAACCGACUAAACCGUGCUCCAAAACAGUUGAUUUUUUUUUAAUUGUUCGGUUGGUUUUUGAAUCGCACGAAUCCGUACCGAAAACCAAAUUCUGCAUCCAAUUGCAGCUUGAGCUUGUCCAAGGGGGAGAGAGAGAGAGACAAGAGUGAGAUACAGGUGGAAGGAGGUCUAAAACGACCUUGGAUCCGGCGACGUUGAGCAAGGACAAGAGUGUCGGAGCACAGCUUCGGAAGUUUAAGUAUUUUGGGUUUGUAUUUCACCUGGGUGUGAAUUCGGUCGGACACGAGUAUUUCCAUGCCCGGUUCUUGCUCAUCAGAGGCAAGUACGUUGAGAUGCACAAGCGGGACCCUCAUGAAAACCCCGGCAUUAUUGCUGUUCCACAGCUGGAGAAGCUCAAAAUUGGAUGGAAGCAUUUGAUCAUGCCAAGCAACAGACUGAAUAUGAGCUAUCUGAAGGAGGCAGUUCCAGAAACAAACUGACACAGAAGACGAGUCCCAGCAAAACCGAACUACUGUCUGGUGCUUUACUGUGCUGCUGGUUGGCCUUUGAAUAAGAAUUCCUUGUUGGCUAAAUUCGUGGAUGGCAGUGACAUGUUUCAGGAUGCAAGAUUCUAACUGAUUCCGAGUAUUGUAGAGAUACGAUUUAGAUAAAAUUUAAUUAUCUGUAAGGUAUUUGUACCUUAAGAUCUGUUUUUCUUCUACCACACGUAGCUGACUCAGUUAAUGUCUUAAUCAAUGGUAAGGGAUAUUAGAUGGUCAAGUGUGCUGCUGGGGAAAGCUGUCACUUGCAAAUAUUUUAAACAAGACAAUUUUAUGGAGAUUGAUGUAGGCAUUGGAUCUUCAUCAUUUGCAAGAGGUGUCAUUGGCCUUGUCUUGGGAUAUAUCACAAGCUUGGUGAUUGACCUGGCUAUUUUGAUAGAGGCAAUGGAAGAGUACAUUCUUGGAACUGUUCGGCUAAACUGGAUUAAGCCCGAGUCUGCUAGACAUUUGGACGUUUGAGGUUUCGUCAUUGUAAUCAUCAUCCUUAUUAUGAUAACAUUCAAUUGGUACGGUUUCUCCAUUGUUUUCAACAAUCUGUUGUAAAGUAAUAAUAAUUAGUGAACCAAUACUCAUGCAAUAAUAGAUAAAUAAUUUAUUGGUUUAUCUUUA